UACGUAGGCAGCAAGCGUUGUUCGGAGUUACUGGGCGUAAAGGGUGUGUAGGCGGUUUUUUAAGUUUGGUGUGAAAUCUCCCGGCUCAACUGGGGAGGUGCGCCGAAUACUGAAAGACUAGAGUGCGGGAGAGGAAAGUGGAAUUCCUGGUGUAGCGGUGAAAUGCGUAGAUAUCAGGAGGAACACCGGUGGUGUAGACGGCUUUCUGGACCGUAACUGACGCUGAGACACGAAAGCGUGGGUAGCAAACAGG
rnacentral:rRNA from 1 species